rnacentral:misc_RNA from 1 species
UUAGGAACUAAAACAAACAGGGAUAGGUAUGACGAAAGAAGGCCAAGGGUAAACGUAGUUCACGGUGACCCUAUCAAUACUUUUCCCACAUGUAGGCAAAUAUGUCUUCCGAGGAAAAUGACUAUAAGCCAAUUAAGUUCAAUAGACAUCCACAUAAUGAAAUAUGUAAAAGAAGAGUUGUGCAUGGGUAUAAUGAAUGGGAAAGCAAGGAUUAUCAAUUGCAAAUUGAUAUUUCUAAUUUUUAUAGGGAUCUCAAUAUAGAAGAAUUCUUAAACUAGAUCACAAAAGUGGACAAAUUCUUCAUCCAUGUGGACAUAGCACUUGAAAA